CGGGAAGGAGGCGGUGCAGCCGUCGCCAUGGCAACGCGGCCCAGCCCGGCCCGGCCCGGCCUGGUCUGCCCGAGUCCCCCUCCCCCCCAGGGCCUCCCCCCUCAGGGCCUCCCCCCUUUCACAGCGUCUCCUUCCUCAGUCUGGUCCGCGAACCCCCCGUCAGCCCUUUGCUGACCCCCAGUUCCCUUGUUCUGUGGUGUUCCAGGUUGCCCAAGUAGUGUGUAGAAUCUCCCUUACUCGAGAUGUUCCAGAACCCUCUGGACACAUCCAGUGCUCUGGAAUGGCCCUGCCUGAGCAGGGAGGUGGGACUAGGUAAAGCACUGUGGUCCCUUCCAUUCUGUGAUUCUGUCGUUUCCUUAGAGCAGUAUUUAGGUAUUUCAGUAACUCACAAGACACACUAAAGAGAACAUCACUGGUACCCAUACACUUCUCCGUGGACUCACAGCACUCGCUGCCUCUGUGUGUCUGGAUCUAAGAAUCACAUAGAGCAUUUUUAGGAAUAACCCCUUUCCUCCCCCCGCCUGGCUGUUUGGCAGGGUACGUUCUCACUGUUAAAGGGAUGGACAGUCUUGUUCCCACACUCCUCGCCGAGCACAGGCUGAGGGCAGAUGGACUCCACCUGCAAAGCCAAGAGAACAGAUGAAAAGCUCCCAUGUGGGUCUGCCCAGGAUGGCACAGGACGUCUGCAGGACUGAGCAGAGGGGUGACUUCACACCCAAGUCUAGAGGCCCAGCUGAAAUCCAAAAGGCAGACUACCAAGUGAGCUGUGUGUCCCCAUGGUGACCCUGGAAAGGCCCUGUCCCCAGGGGAAGGUGACAUUCUCCCUCCUCCAUCAACCAGGCCCUGUGAGCUGCCCACACGGGCAUGGGAUCUCCAAGCCUUCCUUGUGCUCUGCUCUUACCCCCCUCUGUGUGUUGUCACAGGGAACAUCUAUUUCUCAGAUUGAAUGAGGACACAAGGAGGUGUUGUGACAGCAAGAAUAAACACUGGGAGAUUAGCCCAAA